AGCAGCAUCACCACCUUGUAGCCUGAUCUUGUCAGAUCUCCGAACCCAAGCCAGGCUGUUCCUGGUUAGUACUGGGAUAGUAGACCUCCAUGGAAAACUAGGCUGAUGCUGUAA
rnacentral:rRNA from 1 species